UACGUAGGGUGCGAGCGUUGUCCGGAAUUAUUGGGCGUAAAGGGCUCGUAGGCGGUUUGUCGCGUCGGGAAUGAAAACACCGGGCUUAACUCGGUGCUUGCUUUCGAUACGGGCAGACUAGAGGCAUGCAGGGGAGAACGGAAUUCCUGGUGUAGCGGUGAAAUGCGCAGAUAUCAGGAGGAACACCGGUGGCGAAGGCGGUUCUCUGGGCAUGUCCUGACGCUGAGGAGCGAAAGUGUGGGGAGCGAACAGG
rnacentral:rRNA from 1 species